UAGGUGACAAACUCUCAUGUGCUG
rnacentral:siRNA from 1 species